rnacentral:rRNA from 2 species
ACGGGUGAGUAAUGUAUAGGAAUCUACCUAGUAGUACGGAAUAAUUGUUGGAAACGGCAACUAAUACCGUAUACGCCCUACGGGGGAAAAAUUUAUUGCUAUUAGAUGAGCCUAUAUUAGAUUAGUUAGUUGGUGAGGUAAAGGCUUACCAAGACAAUGAUCUAUAGCUGAUCUGAGAGGAUGAUCAGCCACACUGGAACUGAGAUACGGUCCAGACUCCUACGGGAGGCAGCAGUGGGGAAUAUUGGACAAUGGGCGAAAGCCUGAUCCAGCCAUGCCGCAUGAGUGAAGAAGGCCUUCGGGUUGUAAAGCUCUUUUAGUGAGGAAGAUAAUGACGGUACUCACAGAAGAAGUCCUGGCUAACUCCGUGCCAGCAGCCGCGGUAAUACGGAGAGGGCUAGCGUUAUUCGGAAUCAUUGGGCGUAAAGGGCGCGUAGGCGGGUUAGUAAGUUAAAAGUGAAAUCCCAAGGCUCAACCUUGGAACUGCUUUUAAAACUGCUAGUCUAGAGAUUGANAGAGGAUAGAGGAAUUCCUAGUGUAGAGAUGAAAUUCGUAAAUAUUANGAGGAACACCAGUGGCGAAGGCGUCUAUCUGGUUCAAAUCUGACGCUGAGGCGCGAAG